GAUGAACGCUGGCGGCGUGCCUAAUACAUGCAAGUCGAGCGAACGGACGAGAAGCUUGCUUCUCUGAUGUUAGCGGCGGACGGGUGAGUAACACGUGGAUAACCUACCUAUAAGACUGGUAUAACUUCGGGAAACCGGAGCUAAUACCGGAUGAUAUUUUGAACCGCAUGGUUCAAAAGUGAAAGACGGUCUUGCUGGCACUUAUAGAUGGAUCCGCGCUGCAUUAGCUAGUUGGUAAGGUAACGGCUUACCAAGGCAACGAUGCAUAGCCGACCUGAGAGGGUGAUCGGCCACACUGGAACUGAGACACGGUCCAGACUCCUACGGGAGGCAGCAGUAGGGAAUCUUCCGCAAUGGGCGAAAGCCUGACGGAGCAACGCCGCGUGAGUGAUGAAGGUCUUCGGAUCGUAAAACUCUGUCAUGAGGGAAGAACAUAUGUGUAAGUAACUGUGCACAUCUUGACGGUACCUAAUCAGAAAGCCACGGCUAACUACGUG
rnacentral:rRNA from 1 species